AAAGAUUAAGCCAUGCAUGUCUAAGUAUAAGCAACUUGUACAGUGAACCUGCGAAUGGCUCAUAAAAUCAGUUAUCGUUUAUUUGAUAAUCCCUUACUACAUGGAUACCUGUGGUAAUUCUAGAGCUAAUACAUGCUUCAAGGAGUGGCUUUCGUCACUCUGCACUUAUUAGAUAAAAAACCAAUGCCCCUUUGGGGCUCCUUGGAGAUUCAUAAUAAUUUAGCGGACCGCAUUCCCUCGAGGAGGCGGUGGAUCAUUCAAAUUUCUGCCCUAUCAACUUUCGAUGGUAGGAUAGUGGCCUACCAUGGUUU
rnacentral:rRNA from 1 species